rnacentral:rRNA from 1 species
AUUGAACGCUGGCGGCAGGCCUAACACAUGCAAGUCGAACGAGUGGCGGACGGGUGAGUAAUGUCUGGGACACUGCCUGAUGGAGGGGGAUAACUACUGGAAACGGUAGCUAAUACCGCAUACCAUCGGAUGUGCCCAGAUGGGAUUAGUUAGUAGGUGAGGUAAAGGGUCACCUAGGCGACGAUCCCUAGCUGGUCUGAGAGGAUGACCAGAAACACUGGAACUGGGACAAGGUCCAGACUCCAACGGGAGGCAGGAGUGGGGAAUAUGGCACAAUGGGCGCAAACCUGAUGCAGCCAGGCCGCGUGGAUGAAGAAGGCCUUCGGGUUGUAAAGUACUUUCAGCGGGGAGGCGUUACCCGCAGAAGAAGCACCGGCUAACUCCGUGCCAGCAGCCGCGGUAAUAC